rnacentral:rRNA from 1 species
AUACGUAGGGGACAAGCGUUAUCCGGAUUUACUGGGUGUAAAGGGAGCGUAGGCGGCCAGCCAAGUCAGAAGUGAAAUCCCACGGCUCAACUGUGGGCGUGCUUUUGAAACUGGAGGGCUUGAGUACUGGAGGGGCAAGCGGAAUUCCUGGUGUAGCGGUGAAAUGCAUAGAUAUCAGGAAGAACACCGGAGGCGAAGGCGGCUUGCUGGACAGAGACUGACGCUGAGGCUCGAAGGCGUGGGGAGCAAACAGGAUUAGAUACCCUGGUAGUCCACGCGGUAAACGAUGAAUGCUAGGUAUUGGGCUCCAUAGGGGUUCGGUGCCGCAGUUAACGCAAUAAGCAUUCCACCUGGGGAGUACGUUCGCAAGAAUGAAACUUAAAUGAAUUGGCGGGG